rnacentral:lncRNA from 1 species
UGAACGAAGGACGGGCAAAGGGCAGACCGCUGUUUACCCCAAACAUCUUUCCCCCGAUAACUUAUCUCUUCCCACAGCCGUUGCUGAUUCCCCCCCCCCAAUGUUCCGCUAAUAAUGUUUGGAGAAGGUUCUUGAGAAAUGGGGGGGGCGCUUUGGCUGGGGCACACAACCUGUGGCCCCCACCUGAGCCUUCGCGUGAUUCCCUCAGGCCCAGCGUGCAGGACCGCCGGCCGGCGCCGGCCACGCUGUGGCUUGAUUCACGUCAGCUUCAGCGCAUUUACCGGAAUCGGCACUAAUAAAAUUUAUUCUUAGCUUGCAAAGGCGAGCGCCAGAGCGGGCGAGAGAGAGGGGACGGGGAGAGACAGACAAUUAAGGCCUUGUUCGCUUCCCGAGUGCUUCCUGCAGGAUCCGCACGCCUCCGGCAGGGGCUUUCGCAGAAGGGUUCGGGGGUGUCUUUCUGUCGUGGGCCUCCCCCUCUCGGCAUAAGCUGGAAAGUGUCAUUCCGCGAUUCCUAGGGUUUCUCUGUCACCUGUGGGGUGGGGGUGGGUCAUCACCUGAGCAGCGACAUUUUCGACCCCACACCCUUAAUGUCUUGCAACCCCAUCCAGACCAAAGGAUUACUUACAAGCCGAGAAGGUUUUUGCCAGAACAAACGGCAGCAACUCAGGCCGCGCUCACACUGGUAGAGAGCCAGUGAGGUGCAGUGGAUAAGAGUGACAAACGAGGACUUGAGAGACACGGGUUCGGAUUUCCCCAGGGCCAUGAAAACUAAUUUGGGGGAGGGCUUGGCACUAGGAAGACCACUCUGUUCAUCAUCCCUGUGACGCCACAAAAUCCCACGUGAGGAUCACCCUAAGUCGGGAGCAACUGGACGGCACAUCAUAGCAGUGCACUCAAAACAUGCUCAGGUAGACUCUCAUCCAUGCAGUUUCCCCCUAUGGUCCUGGACUGGCAGAAAGUGGGAUGGCUCCUCUUCCCUGCCCUGGAAGGACUAUUCCAGAAGGAUGCUGAAGCGCCCCCCCCGCCCCCGGGCCCUGGGACCGGGCUAGGCUCUUUUUAUUUGCUGGGCGGAUGGGCAGGCCAGGAGGAGCUGCUUGAUCAAGCCUCUGGCGACCUUUUGGGGGACAUCGCCGUGGAGACAAGAGGCCUGGCCUUCAGCUGGGUGGACCUGAAAGGAAGAUUGGCCCACGGAUGGGGGGGGGAAAGGCUAUCGGAAGCCGCUAGCCAGGACGGCAACCCUAUUCCUUUCCACGUCCCUCUCCCUGCCCAAGGGCCACCUUGUCUCCCUGGGAGGAAAGAUGCAGCGGGACCCCCACCACGGAAGGAGGACGUGAGGGCAGAAAUCAGCAGGCGCAGCGGGCCGGAAGGCGGCCAGAAGGGUGCUGCUCCUCCUCUCAAGUCACUCCCGUGGCCUUCCCACGGUCGCCUUUGCUUGGGCACCGUGGGAGCAGGAGGCAGGACCUGGGAGUCCUCUUCUCCCUCGAAGCGAUGGGCCGGCCGGUGGGGCCCCCUCUGCCGCCAACCACCACUGGGGGCUUCACCCUCACAACCCGGUGGCUCUGCCUCUUGGAAUGCCUGGCCCUGGCCGUCCUCUUUCCCAGGAGCUCUCUGACGGGCCACCUCUCCGGGAUCCUGGCCGGGCUGGCCUUUUCUACGGUGCCCUUCCUCUAUCUGGACACCGGCUGAAGCUCCCAGCGCUCUCCAGCCACCGCCACCAGGAAGGAGCCCAUGCACCAGGAGGUCCCAUCCAGCUGACAGGAGUAUUCCCAGGCUCUCUGGAACAAUACAGCCCUCUCACCUCUUCCAAAAGUGAUUCUGAACCAUGCUUCGUGUCUGCAGAAGAUGGGAGGCUUCUGCCAUACAGAGGUGGUGUGGGGUAGUGGUUAGGGACCUCAGGGGCUGGGGAAAGGGAGAAAAUCCAAGUUCUAGCUGUCUUCUCCCUUCCCUUCCACCCUGAGCCAUGAAAUUCACAGGGAGAUUGUGGGUUAGUCACUCAACCGGACCCCUCUCGAACCCACAGGGUGGUCGCAACACCCAAGGGGAGAGAGCGAGCAGUGGGGUCACCGGAAGUGGCAGGAGAAAAAAGUAUCAGCUAACCAACUAGCUUAAUUCAGGGCUGGCCUUGUGCCUUUCAGCCAGGAACUACCACACCCAUCACCCCCUAGUCAGCAUGGCCAGCGGCUGCUGUGCUAGUUGGGAGCGAUGGGGAGACUGUAAUUCCAACACAUAUCGGAAGCACCACCACCACCACAAAAGGAGCAGGCAGGCUGGGACCAAAAAACUGGCCACUUUUUUGACUAAAAGUCCCAGAAUCCCCCCAUGACACCCAACUGGAUGCUGGCUGAGGCACAGAACCCCUGGCCCUCCAGGGGACAAGGGUGGCUUUGCAAACAUCCAAACAGGGGCUGGGUAAGUGGAGAUCUCAACUGGAAUAGCUCUGCAUUUAACACCAACCCUUUGGGGCACCAGGGGGGGGAGGGGAGAGAAGCAGGGCUGGGACUCUCUCGGCCGUUAAGAGGCAGCUCUGGGUUCAAGCUUCAUUCCUCAGUGCUUCCUUUUUUAAAGAACCCCCAAAGUUCAACAAACUCUACCUGCUAGCGCUAAAAUCUGGC